rnacentral:rRNA from 1 species
AUUGAACGCUGGCGGCAGGCCUAACACAUGCAAGUCGAACGGUAGCACAGAGGAGCUUGCUCCUUGGGUGACGAGUGGCGGACGGGUGAGUAAUGUCUGGAAACUGCCCGAUGGAGGGGGAUAACUACUGGAAACGGUAGCUAAUACCGCAUAACGCCUUCGGACCAAAGUGGGGGACCUUCGGGCCUCACGCCAUCGGAUGUGCCCAGAUGGGAUUAGCUAGUAGGUGGGGUAAUGGCUCACCUAGGCGACGAUCCCUAGCUGGUCUGAGAGGAUGACCAGCCACACUGGAACUGAGACACGGUCCAGACUCCUACGGGAGGCAGCAGUGGGGAAUAUUGCACAAUGGGCGCAAGCCUGAUGCAGCCAUGCCGCGUGUAUGAAGAAGGCCUUCAGGUUGUAAAGUACUUUCAGCGGGGAGGAAGGCGUUAAGGUUAAUAACCUUGGCGAUUGACGUUACCCGCAGAAGAAGCACCGGCUAACUCCGUGCCAGCAGCCGCCGUAACAC